GGGGGUGUAACGGUUUCGACGGGGCAUCGAAAGGCUUUGACGGCGACCCGGCAUGAGCACUGCCGCAAGUGGCUCAAAUUCACAAUUGCCAACGACGAGUUCUACGGCGAAGCUCUCGCCGCCGCUUAAACCGGCGACGAAAGCGGGGCCCAGGCCUGGGCCCGGCAACAGAAGUCCCUAACAACAUGGCCAAGCCGGAAUUAUGAAAUCGCCGGUUAAAAUCCAGGGUUUCCCAGUGCUCCGAGGUUACGGAGCUUCCCUGUCCCGCCGACUGCAACGGCCAGGGGAGUAGACGUCGGCAAAAUGGUCGUGAUCCCUUCGGGUUGAGUACAUGUUUCGGACCCGGGUUCAAUUCCCGGCACCUCCACCA
rnacentral:tmRNA from 1 species